UUGAAAGUACAUAGUAUGACCAGAAUAACGUUGAUAAGAUAACACAAGUGCCCCAUAGUCGUUCACGACUGUAAGUAUAGUGAAUACCAGGAAAUUUAAGUACUGGAUCAAAUUCUUUGUAAGGAAAAUUACCAAUUGAUAGGGAGGACUUUGUAGGAGUGAACAAGAGCUUGGGUUUGGCUUCACAAGAUAGUUCGUUUACAGUAGUUGCUUCUUCAGAAGGAUUUUGAGAUUU